UACGUAGGGUGCAAGCGUUAAUCGGAAUUACUGGGCGUAAAGCGUGCGCAGGCGGUUUUGUAAGUCUGUCGUGAAAUCCCCGGGCUCAACCUGGGAAUUGCGAUGGAGACUGCAAGGCUAGAAUCUGGCAGAGGGGGGUAGAAUUCCACGUGUAGCAGUGAAAUGCGUAGAGAUAUGGAGGAACACCGAUGGCGAAGGCAGCCCCCUGGGUCAAGAUUGACGCUCAUGCACGAA
rnacentral:rRNA from 1 species